UACGUAGGGUGCGAGCGUUAAUCGGAAUUACUGGGCGUAAAGCGUGCGCAGGCGGUCUGUUAAGACCGAUGUGAAAUCCCCGGGCUUAACCUGGGAACUGCAUUGGUGACUGGCAGGCUUUGAGUGUGGCAGAGGGAGGUAGAAUUCCACGUGUAGCAGUGAAAUGCGUAGAGAUGUGGAGGAAUACCGAUGGCGAAGGCAGCCUCCUGGGCCAACACUGACGCUCAUGCACGAAAGCGUGGGUAGCAAACAGG
rnacentral:rRNA from 1 species